rfam:Beta vulgaris subsp. vulgaris chromosome 6, whole genome shotgun sequence.
GUCGAGCUUGGUAACGCGAGCUUGUGACCCAAGUGGGGACAACAAGGUGGUGGAACAUGGAUCCAGAUAGCUGGGUCGGGUCUUGGGCUGGCUUAAGUCUCUUGGGGUCCUAAAGCGGAGGGCACUGCGCGAGGCUGGUUUCACAGAGCAACGACAACCUCCCGCUCCUGUCAGUGGGCGGAUAACGGGCCGGUGUCACCCGGAUCCAAUAGUACCAAACUAGCUUAGAUCUCAGCUGGACCACCACCUUU